rnacentral:rRNA from 1 species
ACUCCUACGGGAGGCAGCAGUGGGGAAUAUUGGACAAUGGGCGCAAAGCCUGAUCCAGCCAUGCCCGCGUGAGUGAUGAAGGCCCCUAGGGGUUUGUAAAAGCUCUUUCAACGGUUGAAGAUAAUGACGGUAGCCGUAGAAGAAGCCCCGGCUAACUUCGUGCCAGCAGCCGCGGUAAUACGAAGGGGCUAGCGUUGUUCGGAAUUACUGGGCGUAAAGCGCACGUAGGCGG